AUGCAAGUCGAACGGACCCGCAAGGGUCAGUGGCAAACGGGUGCGUAACACGUGAGGAACCUGUCCAACGGCGGGGGAUAGCCGGCCCAACGGCCGGGUAAUACCGCGUACGACCUUCGAGGGGCAUCCCUUGGGGGUGAAAGCAGCAAUGCGCCGAUGGAGGGCCUCGCGGCCUAUCAGCUAGUUGGUGAGGUCACGGCUCACCAAGGCGACGACGGGUAGCUGGUCCGAGAGGAUGACCAGCCACAUUGGGACUGAGACACGGCCCAGACUCCUACGGGAGGCAGCAGUGGGGAAUAUUGCGCAAUGGGCGAAAGCCUGACGCAGCGACGCCGCGUGUGGGAUGAAGGUCUUCGGAUUGUAAACCACUGUCGGGAGGGACGAAGCUCUGACGGUACCUCCAAAGGAAGCACCGGCUAACUCUGUGCCAGCAGCCGCGGUAAUACAGAGGGUGCAAGCGUUGUCCGGAAUCACUGGGCGUAAAGGGCGCGUAGGCGGCCUGGUAAGUAGGGGGUGAAAUUCUGCGGCUCAACCGCAGGACGGCCUCCUAAACUGCCGGGCUUGAGCACGGUAGAGGCUGGUGGAAUUCCCGGUGUAGCAGUGGAAUGCGUAGAGAUCGGGAAGAACAUCGGUGGCGAAGGCGGCCAGCUGGGCCGUUGCUGACGCUGAGGCGCGACAGCGUGGGGAGCAAACAGGAUUA
rnacentral:rRNA from 1 species